AUGAUGUUAGCUGCCCUCCUCUCGCCUCUGGCUGCUGAGAACUCGAGACUGUUAAUUGAUGUUUUAGGCUUGAACUGGACGAUUCGAAAGCUAGAUGGGGGUGCACUCUGCACACAUAAGAUUAGCCAAGAGAGGGUGGCCAAAUUGUGGUAUGUGUUUACUUUGCAAGAGGGUGCAAGAAAGCGGGUCACACCUAUUCUUUAA
rnacentral:rRNA from 1 species